rnacentral:rRNA from 1 species
AAGACGAACCGAGCGAACGUUGUUCGGAAUCACUGGGCUUAAAGGGCGCGUAGGCGGGUUCGCAAGUCUGUGGUGAAAUCCUCCGGCUCAACCGGAGAACUGCCUCGGAUACUGCGGGUCUCGAGGGUGAUAGGGGUAUGCGGAACUAUCGGUGGAGCGGUGAAAUGCGUUGAUAUCGAUAGGAACUCCGGCGGCGAAGGCGGCAUACUGGAUCACUUCUGACGCUGAGGCGCGAAAGCCAGGGGAGCAAACGGGA